rnacentral:lncRNA from 1 species
AAAAACAACUUCUCUGGAUCAAAACCUGGAUGAACACAGUGAAGAGCACAUAGUCCCUCUGCAUUUUUUGCACCAAAUGUGGUGAUCCUUUGAUAACAGUGAUUGAUAGUGUCUGGCUCUCCGCAUUGUAAAGGGCAGAGUUUAGAAUCUCUCUGCAUCCCAUGUGGCAUGGACAACAUUUCUGAAUAUGGUGUGAAGGAUGAUGAAAGAUCAACAACAGGAUUAAAAGAACAGUGCACAGAGAAGAGGGGUGGUCAUAGCACUGGAAUGAGGAGCAAGUCCCAGCAAACAGGAAGACUACAAGAUGGCAACUUUCUUACUAAGGUUGGAAAUUUUAAGAGUUUGACAUUAUGAACGGUUCUCUGUUAACUCCUGUGAGAAGUCCAACUAUGCAAGGGUAGUAAAAGAGUCAAGGAGGGAGGAAGCAUAUGCACUGAGUGAUCCUGAAUUCGCUAUGUACAAGAGAUGCUGCAUCUGAUUUUGACUUCAUAGAAGUUGGAUAAUCCACUGUCACUGUCGAUGUGAUGACAAAUGUGAUGUAUUAUUACAGAAGAGGUACGAAGCUGAAGUAUACUAAGAAUUAAAGCACAUCCAAAAUACAUGAAAAGAGGCUUGAUGGCAUUUGUUUCAACACAUCAAGGCAAUUCCAGAUAUCUGUGAAAAGAUUCAAAAAUGUAAAGGAUUUCUGGCACAUCACACUGACUGCACUGACUUCAACAGAUGUCAUUCUUUUGGCAGUAGUGGAGCUGUUUUGGGUGG